UAGUCCACGCCGUAAACGAUGCGCACUAGGUAUGAGAGGUUUUGACGCCGAUUGUGCCGAAGUAAAAGUGGUAAGUGCGCCGCCUGGGGAGUACGGCCGCAAGGCUAAAACUCAAAGGAAUUGACGGGGGCUCACACAAGCGGUGGAGGAUGUGGAUUAAUUCGAAGCAACGCGAAGAACCUUACCUGGGUUUGCAUGCUUGGAUGCCCUUCUGGAAACAGGAGUAGGCUGCCUUCGGGUGAAACUUGCACAGGUGCUGCAUGGCUGUCGUCAGCUCGUGCUGUGAAGUGUCGGGUUAAGUCCCUUAACGAGCGAAACCCCUAUCGUUAGUUGCCAGCGGGUCAUGCCGGGGACUCUAGCGAGACCGCCGACGUCAAGUCGGAGGAAGGCGGGGACGACGUCAAGUCAUCAUGGCCUUUAUGCCCAGGGAUUCUCACGUCCUACAAUGGUCGGUACAGAGCGAGGCGAGACCGCGAGGUGGAGCAAAUCGCAGAAAGCCGGCCCCAGUUCGGA
rnacentral:rRNA from 1 species